rnacentral:rRNA from 1 species
AGUGGCGGACGGGUGAGUAACGCGUAAGAAUCUAACUUCAGGACGGGGACAACAGUGGGAAACGACUGCUAAUACCCGAUGUGCCGCGAGGUGAAACCUAAUUGGCCUGAAGAAGAGCUUGCGUCUGAUUAGCUAGUUGGUGGGGUAAGAGCCUACCAAGGCGACGAUCAGUAGCAGGUCUGAGAGGAUGAGCAGCCACACUGGGACUGAGACACGGCCCAGACUCCUACGGGAGGCAGCAGUGGGGAAUUUUCCGCAAUGGGCGAAAGCCUGACGGAGCAACGCCGCGUGAGGGAGGAAGGUCUUUGGAUUGUAAACCUCUUUUCUCAAGGAAGAAGUUCUGACGGUACUUGAGGAAUCAGCCUCGGCUAACUCCGUGCCAGCAGCCGCGGUAAUACGGGGGAGGCAAGCGUUAUCCGGAAUUAUUGGGCGUAAAGCGUCCGCAGGUGGUCAGCCAAGUCUGCCGUCAAAUCAGGUUGCUUAACGACCUAAAGGCGGUGGAAACUGGCAGACUAGAGAGCAGUAGGGGUAGCAGGAAUUCCCAGUGUAGCGGUGAAAUGCGUAGAGAUUGGGAAGAACAUCGGUGGCGAAAGCGUGCUACUGGGCUGUAUCUGACACUCAGGGACGAAAGCUAGGGGAGCGAAAGGGAUUAGAUACCCCUGUAGUCCUGGCCGUAAACGAUGGAUACUAGGCGUGGCUU